rnacentral:rRNA from 1 species
UGCCAGCAGCCGCGGUAACACGGGGGGCGCAAGCGUUAUUCGGAAUUAUUGGGCGUAAAGGGCGCGCAGGCGGGCUGAUCAGUCUGGGGUGAAAGUUCACGGCUUAACCGUGAAAUUGCCUUGGAUACUGUCAGUCUUGAGUUCGGAAGGGGAGAGUGGAAUUCCUGGUGUAGCGGUGAAAUGCGUAGAUAUCAGGAAGAACACCGGUGGCGAAGGCGGCUCUCUGGUCCGAAACUGACGCUGAGGCGCGAAAGUGUGGGUAGCGAACAGGAUUAGAUA